UACGGAGGGGGCUAGCGUUGUUCGGAAUUACUGGGCGUAAAGCGCGCGUAGGCGGCUUUGCAAGUUAGAGGUGAAAGCCCGGGGCUCAACUUCGGAAUUGCCUUUAAGACUGCAUCGCUAGAAUUGUGGAGAGGUAAGUGGAAUUCCGAGUGUAGAGGUGAAAUUCGUAGAUAUUCGGAAGAACACCAGUGGCGAAGGCGACUUACUGGACACAUAUUGACGCUGAGGUGCGAAAGCGUGGGGAGCAAACAGG
rnacentral:rRNA from 1 species